rnacentral:tRNA from 1 species
AAAUAAGUAAUAUAAAUAAAUAUAAUUAAUUUCGACUUAAUAAAAGGAUAAAUCCCUUAUUUU